UACAGAGGGUGCAAGCGUUGUUCGGAAUUAUUGGGCGUAAAGGGUGCGUAGGCGGUGCGGUAAGUCUUCUGUGAAAUCUCCGGGCUUAACUCGGAGCCUGCAGAGGAAACUGCCGUGCUGGAGUAUGGGAGAGGUGAGUGGAAUUCCUGGUGUAGCGGUGGAAUGCGCAGAUAUCAGGAGGAACACCAAUAGCGAAGGCAGCUCGCUGGGACGUUACUGACGCUGAGGUGCGAAAGCGUGGGGAGCAAACAGG
rnacentral:rRNA from 1 species